rfam:Novosphingobium barchaimii strain NS277 contig_16, whole genome shotgun sequence.
AGAGCAGGCCUUUCAGGCAUCCUCUCCUAAAACUUCAUGGGGCUGGUCUUUGGACCAGCCCUUUUUUUGUGCGUUG